UUUCACAACGCAUGCGACGUAUUCCCUUUCUUCCGAUAAGGUCCCUUUGAUGCCUAAGGUAGUAAUUGAUUUAGAUGAUUCAACUAGAUUUCCAGCAAAAAAGAUUGUGUCAUGCCUUUUAUAGUGGGCUUCGAGUGUCGUUAUCUCCGCAAUAGGCGCUAGCUAUAAAGGUCAUGUUGCGCUUCUCCCAAACUUUACUCUAGUUGUGAUGCAUCCAAUCCAAUGUGUAGUAACGUCCAGGUCGCUUUGUCAUGUGCUUNNNNNNNNNNNNNNNNNNNNUAUAGGUGCCCUACAAGUCAAUCACGUAAGUGAUGACACGUAUGACAUGACACGCACUCUUUUUGCUUAUUAUAUUAUUUGACAUUUUAUCAUUUUACAUUGUUUGUUGCAUAUAUAUAUAUAUAUAUAUAUAUAUAUAUAUAUAUAUAUAUAUAUAUAUAUAUAUAUAUGUCCAUGGAUCUGUACAAUGAGAAUCGGAUCAUGAUGAGAUCACAAUAAUGAGACCGAUUCACCUUGAAACACAGACCCUAAAUAAUCCUGAUCAUAGGUUACUCGAGAGGAAUAUCGAGAUAACUAGACAGACUAGUGUGUUGUAUAACCAUUCAUAUGAUGGAGGCAGCUGGUCUCAUAGUUGCUCAUGUGGGGAUACUAGGGCUACAGUGCAGGUACUCAUUAGAGAAUGAGUUCACUGAUUGAUCCGCUCAUGGAAUGCGAGGCGGUUAAUGAUAUCUCAUUGUCAGACAGCGAUUCCGUUGUCCCAAUGGUGUAUCUGGUCCUUAGACUUGAGACAUCAAGGAUGUCCUGUAUGAGUACUUCACUCUUUGAUAUCAGACUUAUAGCCCUGGAAGUUCCAGAUCUAACACAGCUGGUCAUCGGGAGUGGCAGCCAACCUUACAUGGACUAUUGAGUGUCGAUAGAUGAUCAUCCACUCUCGGUGUCAUGAGAGAAAUAUCACAUGUUUUCUUGCUCAGACAAAUCCCUGGCCAGGGUCAUUCGGAUUGAGAGUGAAAGAGUUCUUUGGGAGAAUCCGAUUAGAGCGAAACUCGAAUAGAAACCGUAUGGGUCUGAUAGCAUCAUGCCCGGUAUGCGGUCUCUGUGAUAUUAGAUAGAUGAGAGACCAUAAAUACACGGUAACUGAGGACAAACAAGUUCAAUGGAUUGGAUUCCCCUGUAUCGUUUGGGGACUGCGGCGUAGUGGCCUAGUACGUCCGUAAUCGAUGAGUCGAGUGAAUUAUUAUGGAGAUAAUAAUUCGCUGAGCCAGAAUGAGUUCUGACAGGUUUGACUCACGACCAGCUCGAUAUGGGGUCUAGAGGGUCACACACAUAUGAUAGGCGUUGCGACGAAUAAAGGUCCGGAUAUAAGAUAUCCGUCGGAGCCCCUAUCUUAUUGGAUAUCCAAUAAGCUCAUAAAUUACUGGAUCCUAUGGAUGAGAUCUAAUAAGAGCCAAUGAGAGAUUAUUGGAUAUAGAUCCACUAAUCUAAGAGGUUUGGGUAGUUGGAUGAAGAUUCAAUACCCAAUAUGACAUGAUUCAUUAGGGUUAAGUUGACAGGGGGCCUCUAUAAAUAAGAGGAAACCAAACACUCAUAGGCUAGAGGUUUUCUUAGUUGUCACCUCUUAUUGUCUUCUUCUCUUCUCCUCCUCAGAUAGUAGGUGUAGAGAUUUGUGUAGCGAUUUGAGGAGCGUCACCGCAGCCCUACUGUGUGGAUCACCGCUAGAGAGGACGCUUGACCUCCUUCAUCCCCUCUUACAGAUCUGCAGGGAUUUAGGAAUAUAUGAUCUCCUUAAGUAAUACAACUAUCUCACGCGUGGUUUCAGUUUCGCGGAUUUUACGCACCAAUCUUCGCACGACAAUAAACAUCUUUUUGGGAAAUUUGGGGUUUUUAUUUUUUUUUUUUCCGCUGCGCAUGUGAUGUCGUUCCUAGAUUUCCAUAUAGUAUCAACCACUUGAUGUCGAGGUGUCGACCACUUAAUGUCGAGGUGAUAGAUUUUGAUUAAAUUAUGAUUAAAUAAUCUUGAUCUUAUUUGAUAAAAUAGAUUAUCUAACUCAAAAGCAAUAGUUUUUUGUUUUUUCUGCUAUGGUAAUACUAAUAUAUCCUCACUGAAAGAGUGGUACUACUGCAAAUAGUAAAUAGCUGUGCUUCUUCUGGCUAUUGGUUAGCAUUUGAAGUUUGUGUAUGCUUUAGUUUCUUCCGAUAAGGUCCCUUUGAUGCCUAAGGUAGUAGUUGAUUCAGAUGAUUCAACUAGCUUUCCAACAGAAAAGAUUGUGUCCUUGGGAAUGUACUUGAGGUGCCUUUUAUAGUGGGCUUCGAGUGUCGUUAUCUCCAAAUAGUAAAUAGCUGUGCUUCUUCUGGCGAUUGGUUAGCAUUUGAAGUUUGUGUAUGCUUUAGUUUCUCCUCUAAUGCUGCAAAUUUUUAGAGUUAUUUCAGUGAAAUUAACAACUGAAUGAUGCAGGCUAUCACACGACGAUGAAGAAUGCCAUCAGAAGUAGUCUUUGGUCAUCAACUCCUAAUAAAUAUCAUGAACUCUUGAAUGAAAGCACAUAGCUGAUUCCAGUUUGAAGAUUCAAACCCAUCAACACGGCAAGAAACUUUGUCAAGUUUGAGAUUCAGGUAUCACACUUCUCUCUUAUUUUUCAGGUUUAAUCCGAAAUGUUUGUCGAAAGUGUUAAGCAAUAUGUUUUGUGUUUAGCAUGCGGAAACAACAAGCAAUGUGGCUCUACUUGAUGUUGUUCUUCCUAUGCUUCAGAUAACAUUAUUAAUCGAAUUUAUAUUUAGAUCAUGUGGGUAAUGCUUCCUUUUUUUCCUUGACCUUUGUUGGAUUGCAG
rnacentral:lncRNA from 1 species